UUGCUCACUUCGGCAGCACAUAUAGUAAAAUUGGAAUGAUACAGAGAAGAUCAACAUGACCCCUGAGCAAGGAUGACACACAAAUUUUUGAAGUGUUCCAUAUUUUU